rnacentral:rRNA from 1 species
UACGGGGGGGGCAAGCGUUGUUCGGAAUUACUGGGCGUAAAGGGCGCGUAGGCGGUUCGCUAAGUUGGAUGUGAAAACUCUGGGCUCAACCCAGAGCCUGCAUCCAAAACUGGCGGGCUAGAGUUCUGGAGGGGGUAGCGGAAUUCCUGGUGUAGCGGUGAAAUGCGUAGAUAUCAGGAGGAACACCGGUGGCGAAGGCGGCUACCUGGACAGAAACUGACGCUGAUGCGCGAAAGCUAGGGGAGCGAACGGG